GGAGUCUAGCAUGUGCGCGAGUCAUUGGGCUUUCUUGAUAAACCUAAAGGCGAAAUGAAAGUGAAAGCGUGCCUAGUGCGCGCCUAGGGAGGAUGGGCCAUCGUACCGUCGUGGCCCCGCACUCCCGGGGCGUCUCGUUCUCCGGCGUUCGACUUGUCGUCGUCGCGAGAUGAGGCGCACCCAGAGCGUACACGCUGGGACCCGAAAGAUGGUGAACUAUGCCUGGUCAGGACGAAGUCAGGGGAAACCCUGAUGGAGGUCCGUAGCGAUUCUGACGUGCAAAUCGAUCGUAAGAACUGGGUAUAGGGGCGAAAGACUAAUCGAACCAUCUAGUAGCUGGUUCCCUCCGAAGUUUCCCUCAGGAUAGCUGGCGCUCGCUCUAUUAUAUUUUUUGAACGAGUCUCAUCCGGUAAAGCGAAUGAUUAGAGGCAUUGGGGUCGAAACGGCCUCAACCUAUUCUCAAACUUUAAAUGGGUGAGAUCUCCGGCUUGCUUGAAUUGUGAAGCCGCGAGAUCGGAUCAGAGUGCCAAGUGGGCCAUUUUUGGUAAGCAGAACUGGCGCUGUGGGAUGAACCAAACGCCGAGUUAAAGCGCCUAAAUCGACGCUUAUGGGAUACCAUGAAAGGCGUUGGUAACUUAAGACAGCAGGACGGUGGCCAUGGAA
rnacentral:rRNA from 1 species